rnacentral:rRNA from 1 species
CCUACGGGGGGCAGCAGUGGGGGAUAUUGCACAAUGGGGGGAACCCUGAUGCAGCGACGCCGCGUGGGUGAAGAAGCGCCUCGGCGCGUAAAGCCCUGUCAGCAGGGAAGAAAAUGACGGUACCUGAAGAAGAAGCCCCGGCUAACUACGUGCCAGCAGCCGCGGUAAUACGUAGGGGGCAAGCGUUAUCCGGAUUUACUGGGUGUAAAGGGGGCGCAGACGGCGAUGCAAGCCAGGAGUGAAAGCCCGGGGCCCAACCCCGGGACUGCUCGUGGAACUGCGUGGCUGGAGUGCAGGAGGGGCAGGGGGAAUUCUGGGUGAAGCGGGGAAUGGCGUAGAGAGCAGGAGGAA